GGGGAAUAUUGGACAAUGGGCGAAAGCCUGAUCCAGCCAUGCCGCGUGUGUGAAGAAGGUCUUCGGAUUGUAAAGCACUUUAAGUUGGGAGGAAGGGUUGUAGAUUAAUACUCUGCAAUUUUGACGUUACCGACAGAAUAAGCACCGGCUAACUUCGUGCCAGCAGCCGCGGUAAUACGAAGGGUGCAAGCGUUAAUCGGAAUUACUGGGCGUAAAGCGCGCGUAGGUGGUUCGUUAAGUUGGAUGUGAAAGCCCCGGGCUCAACCUGGGAGCUGCAUUUGAUACUGGGUGUCUAGAGUGUAGGAGAGGAAAGUGGAAUUCCUAGUGUAGCGGUGAAAUGCGUAGAGAUUAGGAAGAACACCAGUGGCGAAGGCGACUUUCUGGACUAUAACUGACGCUGAGAUACGAAAGCGUGGGGAGCAAACA
rnacentral:rRNA from 1 species